CGUUUUAGUGGCGGACGGGUGAGUAACGCGUGGGUAACCUGCCUCACACUGGGGGAUAACACUUAGAAAUAGGUGCUAAUACCGCAUAAGCGCACGGGACUGCAUGGUCUUGUGUGAAAAACUCCGGUGGUGUGAGAUGGACCCGCGUCUGAUUAGCUGGUUGGCGGGGUAACGGCCCACCAAGGCGACGAUCAGUAGCCGGCCUGAGAGGGUGGACGGCCACAUUGGGACUGAGACACGGCCCAAACUCCUACGGAAGGCAGCAG
rnacentral:rRNA from 1 species